rnacentral:rRNA from 1 species
AUUGAACGCUGGCGGCAGGCUUAACACAUGCAAGUCGAGCGGAGAUGAGGUGCUUGCACCUUAUCUUAGCGGCGGACGGGUGAGUAAUGCUUAGGAAUCUGCCUAUUAGUGGGGGACAACAUUCCGAAAGGAAUGCUAAUACCGCAUACGCCCUACGGGGGGAAAGCAGGGGAUCUUCGGACCUUGCGCUAAUAGAUGAGCCUAAGUCGGAUUAGCUAGUUGGUGGGGUAAAGGCCUACCAAGGCGACGAUCUGUAGCGGGUCUGAGAGGACGAUCCGCCACACUGGGACUGAGACACGGCCCAGACUCCUACGGGAGGCAGCAGUGGGGAAUAUUGGACAAUGGGCGGAAGCCUGAUCCAGCCAUGCCGCGUGUGUGAAGAAGGCCUUUUGGUUGUAAAGCACUUUAAGCGAGGAGGAGGCUACCUGGAUUAAUACUCUAGGAUAGUGGACGUUACUCGCAGAAUAAGCACCGGCUAACUCUGUGCCAGCAGCCGCGGUAAUAC